CCUACGGGAGGCAGCAGUGAGGAAUAUUGGUCAAUGGACGAGAGUCUGAACCAGCCAAGUAGCGUGAAGGAUGACUGCCCUAUGGGUUGUAAACUUCUUUUAUAUGGGAAUAAAAUGUUCCACGUGUGGGUUUUUGUAUGUACCAUAUGAAUAAGGAUCGGCUAACUCCGUGCCAGCAGCCGCGGUAAUACGGAGGAUCCGAGCGUUAUCCGGAUUUAUUGGGUUUAAAGGGAGCGUAGGUGGAUUGUUAAGUCAGUUGUGAAAGUUUGGGGCUCAACCGUAAAAUUGCAGUUGAAACUGGCAGUCUUGAGUACAGUAGAGGUGGGCGGAAUUCGUGGUGUAGCGGUGAAAUGCUUAGAUAUCACGAAGAACUCCGAUUGCGAAGGCAGCUCACUGGACUGCAACUGACACUGAGGCUCGAAAGUGUGGGUAUCAAACAGGAUUAGAUACCCGAGUAGUC
rnacentral:rRNA from 1 species